rnacentral:hammerhead_ribozyme from 1 species
AUUCAUCUGAUGAGUCCCAAAUAGGACGAAGUGUGCGCCCUGGAU